GAAACAUCUUUACCAGCACAGGAACUACAGCUUUGUAAUUGGCCUGGUGCAAGAACAUGACAGGGUUUUCUCAUCCUAUCAGGACUCGGAUAUUUUGGGAGCUGGUAUAUAAGGCGCACAGCACACAGUGUCUCUUGGACAUUAGGAACAGGUUCAUGUGAGAAAUCAGUGUGCUUUGCUAUUUUAGUGGUUGCUAUAGUUGCAGCAUGAAUGAUUUUUUUCUGGCCUGCCGCAAUUCGGGGCGAUGUUUUCUUAUAGUUCAUAUGUAUAUUUUUAUUAUUUGAGCGCAGAUGGACGUACUUAAAGUAAUUAACAUGGUGAUGCAAGUCUUGUAAAGAAGCCUUUAGCAAAUAAGCAGCAAAGCCCUAAAUCACAUAAAUGGAGGCCUCGUUGAGCUUUCGUUAAGCGCUCAGACUUCAAUGGCAUGGGACUGAGCUCCAUCCAAGCCCAUUUCAGGUUUCUCCAGAUGAUAAAAGCGCUCCGUUUGGUCUCUGAAAUAAGAAGCGCUCGUUGUGCUGAACGAUCUGUGUUGGAAGGAAUGGCCCUCAUGGCAAAGAGUCCAAUAACUCUCCAACGGGUGUGAGAUCCGAGUCAGCAGCACUUAAUGGAGCUGUGAAGAGCUGAGCGGGAAGGCGGCCAAUAGUGCAAUUAAUAUUCUGUACAGAGUUGCACCACUCUGAUGACAGCAAACCUCGUUUGGAGCACAUGACAAAGCUGCAGUGUUUUUUCCAUAGCUGCCAUCAGUGUUUGGAUCCAAAGUAACCGUAACCACUAAAAAUGAGGAAUGACAGCAAACCCAACACCAGCAACUGCAGCCUGAAGUGCAUCCUGGGAAGCACAUAAUGUAAGAGUCUGAUAUACAGCAAACACUUUGGUAGGGAUGGGUGAAGAAAUCACUUUGUUCUUGAGAAGACUGACAGAGGGUGAGGAAAGUCAGUUGGUAUUUUGCUUUCCUUCUUCAGCACUGCUUUCAGCUCUGCAGCUCUCCGUCACACCGCCCCCAUGGGCACCAGCAGUGCCCCGUGCCGUCCUCCCAUCACAGGGAGCUGCCAUGCUCCGAUGGCUCAAAGCUUCCAUCCCCAGACUUAUCUCCGUGUGUGAUGUCAAAACCCAAAAAUAUGGAGGGCUGAUGACAACAGGAGUUAUUUCUGCAGGUCUGACACACAGCGGGGAUGGAUGGUGUGAGGGCUCUGUUUUCCUGUCUUGCUCACUCUUGCAACAUGCUGGCAGAGAUGGUAGGAAGGAGGGAAUGUUUUGGUCCUUUCUGAAGUAACUGAGCUCUGCUGUGAUGAAGCAGCUCUCUUUUUGCCAAGCACUGCUUUGUGAUGGUAUGGCCAGAGGGAUCAAGAAUGAUAAAGUGAUUUUUUUUUUUUUUGUAUCAAACAUAAGAUCUUUUUCUUUUUUGGAUGGAGGGAAGGAACAAGAAUGCAGCAGCAAAAAGCAGCAGCUGCAAUGGCUGGAGGAUAUAGCCAGCCAAAAUCGAGCUAGAAGAGUUUGUUUCCAGCACAGUGUGUGUGUCCAUGUGCACGUGCUGCUGCUGACAGAGCUGAUGUGGAGGAGCUCAGAGCUCCUGCAUGGAGCUGGGGCAGAUGCAGCCCUGGAGCUCUGCCACAGCACGAAGACAGCUCCAAGCAGUGAGUUGUGAGCAACGUUGCACUGCAAAUAACCGUACCAGUCCCCGUACCUCCAAAACUUCAGAGUAAUCCUUCCUAGAAGGUUUUUCCCUCGCUGAGCUCAUCAAAGCUCUGCUCUCGCAAGAACCGCACACCUCCACGCUCAGCGGGGCUUCCUGCAGCGCCCCGGGACGUCCCCGGGCUGCCAACGUGGGCAGGAGUGCACACGGGGAACUCUCACUGGUGUUUCCUGUGCUGAUCCUGGUGAGAACAGCAGCCAUACGAGGACGUGGAGGCCCAGGCCAUGCCCCACCCUGCCCUCCUGGGCAGCUGGUACCAGGAAGGUGCUGCUUCCUCCUGCUCCAUCCACAUAAACACAUCACAGUUGGGAAUUCCAGCUCUGUUUCGGGCUGAGUACCAGCUCUCUCUCCCUUUGCCCCUCCAGGACACUGGUAACUUGCCCUCGGCCGUAUGGGAGGUUCAACAUCUCAUCAGCCACAAGGUGACAGCCUCCAGUCCAGAGCCAUUAAAAGCUUCCUCAGCAGAAGAAAGGUUCUGAGCCCAAUGCUGUGGCUCUGGGGCCCACUCAGGAAUCAGCAGGCAUUGGUCACAACAGCCACCCACCAGGACAUGGAGGACACUGCAGUGAUGUGAGCUUAUUUGCAGAGCUGGUUUCUGCACCACAUGCAGCCCUACAAAGCAGAGCCUGAAGGACUCAGGACAAACCCAACCACAAUUGAGGAAUGGGGCAUGGCCAAGCAAAGGGUGGCUUUUGGUGGAACACUGCAAACCUGGCUGCAGUAAUGCAGGGACCGGUUGGUAUCAGUGCUUCCUACGAAGGCAGCGUGUGGACCAUGGCUGUGCUGUGCUCAGCGGGAGGGCGAGGCGUCCUAUUUCGGGUGAGCAAACCAAGCCUUCUGCAGGGCUCUGGGAGGCUGCAGAGCGCUGUGCAUGAAGCACCUCGGUGCAGGGAGGAGGCUGGGGCUGCGAUUCUUCACCUCUUUUUCUUGGGAGGCAGGAGGGGCACAGCUCCUUCACUGCUUUUAGAGUGGUCUACAGCAAGGGAAGACCAUCAGUGCAAUACACUGGAAAAGCUCCAAAGAGAAAUGCAGAGAGGAAUGAUUGCCAUUUGUGUGGGUGAAAGUGAAAAGGAUGAAGAAGCCUUUGGUGCACACUGGGAGUGAACUGUCUUCUUGUUUUUCUGAUACUCUUGAAAAGAAACAAGCAGCUGCUCUUUAUUUUCUCCAUCAGCCAGCACCAGGGCCUCAGCAGGGCUCGGCUGUUGGGCUGCAUGAAGCUGGACAGCCCCGUGUCCCUGAGCCAUCAGUGGCACCGCUCGGACACAGCAGUGGGACAAAAAAACCCCAUCAGUGGAGAGAGCAGCUGAGACAGGCAUUUAUCCUCCAUGUGCACUGGGCCAAGGCUGAGCACGGUGCUAAGGACAAAUGGACCUCUUCUCUCAUUCUGUAGAGAUCUGCAGCCUUACAGUCCUCAUAGAAAUACCUUUGGGCAAACCAGAUUAUUUUGACUUUGGACAACAUCAUUCAUGAAACUCUGCACCACAAGCUUGGUCUGAAGGAAACCACACACGAUUUGACUCCUUUAUCUUGUAUCAGCGGCGGAGAGCUCGAUGCGGUUACAGUUCUCCUCAUUUCUGAGAAGAGAGGAUCAUAUUUAAUCAUUGUGUCAGUUGGCACAAACACCAUGUUUGUAGUGAAAUGCUAAAAAACAGCGCAUUUAUCUUUCCCUCGAUCAAGAUUCAUACGAUAGGAGCUCUUAACGUUUAAACUCAUCAGUCAUGAAACUCUGUAGGGCUCAGCUUCCCUGCUUGUUUACUGUAACUUAUCCUAAAGAAUGAGCUGACCUCUCUUGCCUAAUAUAACAAAUACAGUAUCAGUAAUAUCCACCCAAGGGCAUUUGUUCCCUGGCAGACUCCUGCUUUGGCUCUAAGAUAUUAUUCCUGGACCUUUUUAUUUUUUUGCAGUGGGAUGUCAGCUAUUUUGCUUCACUGAGCAGCACAUUUCAAAACACAAAGUGCCUGCAGGGGUUGCCUCAUCGCAUGUCCUUAUCAGCUGCAGAAACAGAGGAGCCAAGAGCAACUUGGAGGCAGAGAGAUGCUGAACUCAAGGAGUGCUGAAGUUCCUUCUCAGACCCAAAUGAGGAGCCCGGAGGAUUUCAGCCACUGCUUCCUGCAGCGAUCCCAUUGUGUCCACUUGCAGCAUGCAAAUCUCAGAGAGCUGCUGUUCCUUACAGUGCUAUUACAUCACCCACCUCUCCAACAGCCCUCAUACUGACCCACUCUGAUCCAUGUUAUUUUAUGGGCACUGGCUUGUGCUGUGGUGUCCAGAAGUCCCAAACCUCCCCUGUGCAUCAAAGUGAAUGAACACCACAGAGAAAAGGCAGCCCUUGACCUAAAAAGUGCUCACUUUUCACUCACCUCUAAAUCUAUCUGGGCUUUAAUUUCUUCUUUUUCACCGGUUUCAGUACAAAACCCACCAUGCUCAGACAUGGCAGUGGCAGCAGAGGCUCAAGGAGGCAAUAGGCACAGCCACCAGCGAGAUGAGGCGUGCUCUGUGUGUUCUCAGACAGCAGCUUCAAAUGUGACGAUGUCUGAGAACGGCACUGCUACAGAAAAGGCUCCCUGUGCUCUCAGGGACCACCAGGAGGAGAUGGCAGCACCUGAUCCCACUGCCUGAGACCCAGCAUCGAAAAUGAGCACUGCUACGACCUCUUGGUUGGUGCUGUGUCAGCUCAGACCCCGCAUCGGGCACCGAAUGGCAGCCCGUGGGAGCGUUGCUUUCGUAGAGGUUGGAGUUUCAGUGGUUUCUAACGACUUGUUCGGUUGAUACCAAAGUGUGGAGGAGUUAAAAAGUCAGCUGUGAUCUUGGCAAACCCAACCAAACAGGCCGAGGAAGUGCCAGUUCACAGAGCAGAGCACAGCCCAUGCCAUGCCCCGAGGAUGACUCUUCACACCCCUGUUGCUAAGUUAAGGGUCUGAGAGUGUAUUUUUUUUUUCCUCCUUAAAGUCAUAGAAUCACAGAAUGGCUGGGUUGGAAAGGACCUUACAGACCAUCCUGUUCCAACCUCCCUUUAGACCAGGCUGCCCAAAGCCCCAUCCACGGCCUUGAGCACCUCCAGGAAUGGGGCACCCACAGCUCUCUGGGAAGCCUGUGCCAAUGUAAUGGCAUAAUGAAAAUACAGAAAAACGUUUAAUUCCAAGAGAAGGAUAAUACAGGGAAGUAGCUGCUUUUGCAGACAUCUCUAUGGAGUCAAGAGUCCUACUGAAGCUUUCCACCAAUCUCUCAAAUAAAACCCUCAUUUUUAUCUGUACAUUUCUCUGUCUCCAGAGGCUGCCUUCUCUCCUGUCCUAGUUUACCUAAGAAGUGAACUGAAUGUCCAGUUAGAAUAAAUGAAGAACUAAUGUUCAUUCGCUUGAUUUAAUACUUUGGUACUACCUUGACUGGACCCAGCUACAAACUGUGAAGGCAUCAUGAAGCAUUAACAAUACUUCAUUUCAGUCAUUACCACAUUGAAGUAUUCUGAGCAUCUCAGAAAGGCAUCUUUGGACAUGGUAUGAUGGGCGAACGAGCAUCUACAAAGAUCUGGGAUACAUCUUCUCCAUGAAAUGCCAUUUCUAUGCCACAGUUCCCAGGUUGGGAACCCAGAAAAAGGGCAGAUUGAGUAUACAUUAGUGAAAAAGAAAGAAACAAAGAAAACCAAAACAAGAGCUGGGGUGAGAGAGGUGGGGACCUUCGUCUCUUGAAGAUUCUUCUGCAGAUGGCUUCAGUUUCAAAAUCACUGAUGUCCUUUACUACUGUCCACAGCCCCUUGAGGUUUACUGAUGUGCUGUUAAGCUGCUGAAGCUAAAAGCAGCACUCUGUACAGAUGCAGCCACAGUUACGGCUUUGAAAUGAGCGAACAGAGCAACAACAAAGAACAGGAGCUCUGGGCUCUGAAACACUGCUCAGAGCACGAAGGCAGUGAAAAAUAAUGCUUUGUUAACUUCUUGUUUAGGAAAAAAGCAGAACACUUCCUCUAAUGACACAUUCACUGACAGUGGUGCUUUGAUGACUCCUUCACACUGGUGAAUCAUGGAUCUAAGUGCAGGGACAAACUGUUCCUGUCCAAAGGCCGCCAGCCUGGUGGUUCUCUGCCACCCAACAGAAAGUGCUGCUCUUCCUCCUGCUUCCUAACACACCAUCGCCAUCAGAAAUCCAGCUGAGCCAACACUGGCAGCUCUGAUCAGCCCAUGGUCACUGCAACGCCGAGCUGUCCCAGGAGCUCGCCAGGCUUCCUUUCACCGCGCUCCUCCUGAGGCAGCUCAUACGGUUGGACAUUUCCCUUUGCAGGCAGCUGUUCUUUCCAAAUUCCUUACAUUUUAGAUUAUAUAUCCUCAAUUUUGAUCUUUUGCUUUAAAAACACUUUCAUUUGAAGCUUAAUAGCAAAGGCUCAGUGCAUCUGCCAGAGUUCCUGGCACAGCCAGUGUCCUGCAGGAGCAAUUACUUUCCAGUGAGUCUCUAGAAUUGCUUAUUUACUUUCACUCGUAUGCCAAAAAUACUUUAAAAUCAGGACAGUUUUUUCCAGUUACACAAUCACCAGAAAUAUCUUGAAUCCAUACGCUUCCACUGUGGUUCAAUAGUUAAUCUGAAAGCAGUCAAAACAAUUCAUACGGUAUGCAAAGAUCGCCCUGUCUCAGGAUGAAGGCUUCAGAAGCACAGCUCUGUGUGCUCACGUCAACGAAGGCCACAAAGCCAAAUCAGUUCCCACCCCAUUAUAACCACACAGGGAAAAGCAACUGCAAAGCACCUUCCUGAGCAGCACCAUCACAGCCACUCACUUCUACAGAGCCCUUCUUGUCUAUCCAUGUUGACUUUAUUUACUAUUCUUGACAAAACAACACAACAUUGGACUUCUGACAAGCCAUGAGAUUUAGGAUACCAAUCCAUGGGAGCUUUUCAAUAAAUUAUAGUUAAUUAAGAUUGUUGGUGAGCGACAGUGGCUGCUCCUACUCCUUUUGAUUCACCAAAAGCACCGGUAAAACGCAGUUUUUGGCUCCCCUGGUUUAAAAAUCAGAGCCUCUCCCCUCCCUGCCCCAGGGGCACAGGUAAGGAAGCACACAACACCCACAACACCAACUUCUGAAGCAUCUCCUCAAAGCACUCUUUGCAAAUUGAGGCGCCAUUCGUUCUCCUUACUCAUGCAUAUUUUAAAUUCCCUUUUAAGUUUCAACGGUUUGCAUGGGUGUAAUUCGGAGCAGACUGGGGCCUUACAUAUUUUGCAUACCAACUAGUUAUGUGAACCCAAUUUCUGAAAAAGAGAUUAUAUGAGCAUUAUGAUGCAGCUGAGGAGUAACCACUGGAAAAAAAAGUACAAGAAAGCCAGAAGGAUUUGCUUUUUAAUUUUAAGCGCAUGUUCACAAAUGAAAGUGAGAAUUGUGCCCAUCAACAACGGCCGGAACAGAAUCAGCCCUUCUCCAAACCUACCGAGGAACCAUCGUCUUAAUGUGUAGGUUUAAGUUACUGGCACUUUCUGCUUUACGGAUAUAUAUGGCAUCUAGACUUUAAACGAUAUUGCAAAAGUAGAAAUAGCACGAUAAACCUUCAAAGCUGAAAUAAAAAAGAACCUGUGUUUUAACUUAGCGCUGAGUAUUUAUACAGCCGGCACCAUUUAGUCCGGCAUGUUUGAGCGAGCGCAAGUCUGUGGUUGCAGCUCUGUGUAAAAAUAUUGCAGCCUGCUCCUGCUUUAGGAGCUAAACUUCAGUUCCCAAUAGCUCCCUCUGUAAUUCUCUUUCCAAAUAAAAGGAAGAGCUAUUCCUGGCUCGUAACGGUGUAUUUCUGUGGCUUCUUGAACUAUAAUGAAGGCAGUCUGGAAUGUUAAAAAUUACAUGCUCAAUGCCAAUUCUUAAC
rnacentral:lncRNA from 1 species